rnacentral:rRNA from 1 species
UACGAGAGGCCCAAACGUUAUUCGGAUUUACUGGGCUUAAAGAGUUCGUAGGCGGCAUGAAAAGCAGGGUGUGAAAGCCCUCGGCUUAACCGAGGAAUUGCGCCCUGAACUGUCGUGCUAGAGGAAUCUAGAGGUGAGCGGAACUGAUGGUGGAGCGGUGAAAUGCGUUGAUAUCAUCAGGAACACCGGAGGCGAAGGCGGCUCACUGGGGGUUUUCUGACGCUGAGGAACGAAAGCCAGGGGAGCGAACGGG